rnacentral:rRNA from 1 species
UAGAGGAAGUAAAAGUGGUACCAGGUUUCCGUAGGUGAACCUGCGGAAGGAUCAU